UGGCAGGUACAGAGGGAUGCUACCGGGCGACCGGAUGCGGAUCUCGAAAGCCUGUCCCAGUUCGGACUGGAGUCUGCAACCCGACUCCACGAAGUUGGAUUCGCUAGUAAUCGCGCAUCAGCCAUGGCGCGGUGAAUACGUUCCCGGGCCUUGUACACACCGCCCGUCAAGCCAUGGGAGCCGGGGGCGCCUGAAGUCCGGGACCGCGAGGACCGGCCUAGGGCGAAACUGGUAACUGGGGCUAAGUCGUAACAAGGUAUC
rnacentral:rRNA from 1 species